rnacentral:tRNA from 1 species
GGAGGGCAAUCACAUCCGGUGGUGUGGCCGGGCUUCAAACCCGGUUGGGGGCGUCAGCCGUUCCCAGGUAAGUUCGACUCUUUCUGCCCUCCGCCA